CCUACGGGGGGCUGCAGUGGGGAAUAUUGGGCAAUGGGCGCAAGCCUGACCCAGCAACGCGGCGUGAAGGAAGAAGGCUUUCGGGUUGUAAACUUCUUUUGUCAGGGACGAAGCAAGUGACGGUACCUGACGAAUAAGCCACGGCUAACUACGGGCCAGCAGCCGCGGUAAUACGGAGGGGGCAAGCGUUAGGCGGAUUUACUGGGUGUAAAGGGCGUGUAGGCGGGACUGCAAGUCAGAUGUGAAAACCACGGGCUCAACCUUUGGCCUGCAUUUGAAACUGUAGUUCUUGAGUACUGGAGAGGCAGACGGAAUUCCUAGUGUAGCGGUGAAAUGCGUAGAUAUUAGGAGGAACACCAGUGGCGAAGGCGGUCUGCUGGACAGCAACUGACGCUGAGGCGCGAAAGCGUGGGGAGCAAACAGGAUUAGAUACCCGGGUAGUC
rnacentral:rRNA from 1 species